UACGUAGGGUGCAAGCGUUGUCCGGAAUUAUUGGGCGUAAAGAGCUCGUAGGCGGCUUGUCGCGUCGUUCGUGAAAACCUGCAGCUCAACUGCAGGCUUGCGGGCGAUACGGGCAGGCUAGAGUUCGGUAGGGGAGACUGGAAUUCCUGGUGUGAGCGGUGAAAUGACGCAGAUAUCAGGAAGAACACCCGUGGCUAAGGCGGCUCUCUAGUACGGUACUGACGCUGAGACGCGAAAGCGUGGGGAGCGAACAGG
rnacentral:rRNA from 1 species